rnacentral:lncRNA from 1 species
CUGAGUAAUAAAUCAUAUUGUUGACAUGUGCCCUAUAUCAUAUUCUGUAAGUGCCCCCAAUUUAAAAUGCAAGUAGCAGCUUUUUCUAUUUUUUUAGUUUUUCUACUUUUUUUUUCUCUUGACAAUAAUGUCUUUGGCUUCUCACUCAAUACUUAGAUAAAUGUCUUUUUGAGUAUUUAACUAAACUUUGAAAACCUCUUCUCGAUUUUAUGCCAUUUGGACCUUUCUUAAUCUUCAUGGCAUCUUUAUUCAAUCCUUGC